rnacentral:rRNA from 1 species
UACGUAGGGUGCGAGCGUUAAUCGGAAUUACUGGGCGUAAAGCGUGCGCAGGCGGUUAUUUAAGUCAGGUGUGAAAGCCCUGGGCUUAACCUAGGAAUUGCGCUUGAGACUGGAUAGCUUGGAGUGCGGCAGAGGGAGGUGGAAUUCCACGUGUAGCAGUGAAAUGCGUAGAGAUGUGGAGGAACACCGAUGGCGAAGGCGGCACGCUGGACCUUUUCUGACGCUGAGGCGCGAAAGCCAGGGGAGCGAACGGG